rnacentral:rRNA from 1 species
GAUGAACGCUGGCGGCGUGCCUAAUACAUGCAAGUCGAGCGAACGGACGAGAAGCUUGCUUCUCUAAUGUUAGCGGCGGACGGGUGAGUAACACGUGGAUAACCUACCUAUAAGACUGGGAUAACUUCGGGAAACCGUAGCUAAUACCGGAUAAUAUUUUGAACCGCAUGGUUCAAAAGUGAAAGACGGUCUUGCUGUCACUUAUAGAUGGAUCCGCGCUGCAUUAGCUAGUUGGUAAGGUAACGGCUUACCAAGGCAACGAUGCAUAGCCGACCUGAGAGGGUGAUCGGCCACCCUGGAACUGAGACACGGUCCAGACUCCUACGGGAGGCAGCAGUAGGGAAUCUUCCGCAAUGGGCGAAAGCCUGACGGAGCAACGCCGCGUGAGUGAUGAAGGUCUUCGGAUCGUAAAACUCUGUUAUUAGGGAAGAACAUAUGUGUAAGUAACUGUGCACAUCUUGACGGUACCUAAGCAGAAAGCCACGGCUAACUACGU